rnacentral:rRNA from 1 species
CGGGAAAAGCUCAAAUUUAAAAUCUGGUAGUCUCUGGCUGCCCGAGUUGUAAUCUAGAGAAGCGUUAUCCGCGCUGGACCGUGUAUAAGUCUCCUGGAAUGGAGCGUCAUAGAGGGUGAGAAUCCCGUCUUUGACACGGACUACCAGGGCUUUGUGAUGCGCUCUCAAA